AGGGAACGAGCCCAGCAUGACACCAGCAACACUCCUGAAGAUUAUAUUGAAUAUGCCUCCGUGAAUUGGGUGGGAAGCUCCAGGCAUCCACCGCCCCAGGGAGAAGAGACACCGACAUAUGCAGCAAUCACUCUGCAGCGGAGCAGAUGUCAUUAAUGCUCCAGUUGCUGAAAUGCAGUGCUAAUCACAUCCCAGCCACAUCAAAGACCCUCC